rnacentral:rRNA from 1 species
CAAUAGCGUAUAUUAAAGUUGUUGCGGUAAAAAAGCUCGUAGUUGGAUUUCUGUUGAGAGCGACCGGUCCAUACCAUGUAUGCGUAUCUGGCUUGCUCUCGGCAUCCUCUCGAUAGACGUUACUGCGCUUGAUUGCGUGGUGCGGAUCUCGGGACUUUUACUUUGAGGAAAUUAGAGUGUUCACGGCAGGCUUUCGCCAGAAUACAUUAGCAUGGAAUAAUACUAUAGGAUCUUGGUUCUAUUUUGUUGGUUUCUAGAAUUGAGAUAAUGAUUAAUAGGGACAAUUGGGGGCAUUCGUAUCAACACGUCAGAGGUGGAAUUCUUGGGUUGUGUUGCGACGAACUACUGCGAAAGCAUUUGCCAAGGAUGUUUUCAUUGA